GGCGGGGCUUGGAUUGCUCAGUCUGUCAUUGCAACUGUUUGGGCGACGUGGACCUUCAACUUAAUACAUUAACUUUAUUUCUUCCUCGAGAAAACGUUUCACUUUUUCUUUUUUUUUCUUUCUUUUUUUAAGCUUAUAAAGCGAAUAAUUAAUCUACAAACCCAACACGGCGGUUAUUUUUUUUUAAAUAUAGAGAAAGACUUUAUUUCGGUUAUUAUUGAAGGAAAAUUCUCGACUGGAGUUCCUCCAGAAAUAGCCCUUGGACAUUUGGGAAAACUGAACUGAACUAAAAAUAAAGCUAAUGUAGCGUUAAACAUCCGGUUAUUUUUGGUUAUUUCUGUAGCCAGGCAGCUUGUUGCAGACCCAUACACCGUUACAAACACCAGAUACAUUCAUUAAAGAGGGAAAAGAAACGGGGAGAACAUGGGUCUGUACCCGUUGGAGUUCAGUGAGUGUUACCUGGACAGCCCUGGGUUCAGGGACAAAAUUAAAGCCCAUGAAGCAGAGCUGGACAAAACCAACAGGUUUAUUAAAGAGCUUUAUAAAGACGGGAAAAAUCUCAUCAACGCCACGAAACAGCUGUCUCAGGCCCAGCGUAAGUUUGCUCAGUGUCUGGGGGAGUUCCAGUUCGAGUACAUCGGGGACGCGAAGACCGACGAUGAAAAGUGCAUUGAUGAGUCUUUACAGGAGUUUUCCUCCUUCCUCAGAAACCUGGAGGACCAGCGGGAGCUGAUGAUGGCGAACAUCACAGAGACGCUGAUGAAGCCUCUGGAGAAGUUUCGGAAAGAGCAGCUGGGUUCAGCCAAGGCAGAGAGGAAGAAAUACGAGAAGGAAACGGAGAAGUAUUACACGUCGCUGGAGAAGCUCUUAAACAUGUCCGCAAAGAAGAAGGAACCACAGUUGCAAGAGGCAGAUGUGGCGGUGGAGAUGAUGAGGCAGCACUUUCAGGAGGAGUCUUUGGAGUAUGUGUGCAAGCUGCAGGAAAUCCAGGAGAGGAAGAAGUUUGAGUGUGUGGAGCCUAUGGUGGCUUUCUUUCAGACCAUGUUCACUUUCUACCACCAGGGAUUCGAGUUGGCCAAAGACUUUGACCACUACAAAAGAGCCCUGCAGAUCAAUAUUCAGAAUACACGGAGCCGUUUUGAGGGAACACGCUCUGAAGUGUUUGAACUGAUGAAGAAGAUAAAGGAGGCUCCGCACAACUACAGACAGACCAGCCGCAUCAGCAGCGAGGGCUACCUCUACGUCCAGGAAAAACGUCCUCCUCCGUUCGGCUCCAGCUGGGUGAAGAGGUACUGCACCUUCGUCAAGGAACAGAAAAUCCUCCACAUGGUCACGUACGACCCCAAAUCCUUCGGCAAGAUUGGUGAAAACGAAUCUGUCACACUCAAAUCCUGCGUGAGGAAAACGACAGACACCCUGGACCGCCGGUUCUGCCUGGAGAUAGAGAUCACAGACCGCCCCUGCACCGUGCUCACAGUCCAGGCGCUCUCUGAAGAUGACCACAGAUUCUGGAUGCAGGCGAUGGGAGGCAAAGAGCCGGUCCACCAUCUCGGGAGAACGUUUUUGAAAGAACGAUCGAUCGACGCGCAGCUGGACGACGUGGGCGUGAGUUUUGUGAGGAAUUCGAUCAACGCCGUAGAGGCAAGAGGGAUCAAUGACCAGGGCUUGUACAGAGUGGUCGGGGUCAGCUCCAGGGUGCAGAAGCUCCUCAGUCUAAUGAUCGAUGAAAAGAGUAGCGACGUGGACUUGGCCGCGUGUGAGGACUGGGACGUGAAGACCAUCACUAGCGCUUUAAAACAGUACCUGAGGAGUCUCCCCGAGCCGUUAAUGACGUACACCCUGUAUAAGGAGUUCAUCGUUCCUGCAAAGUGUGAGAGUCCGGAGUCCCGCGUUGAGGCCAUCCACUGUUUGGUGCACAGACUGCCUGAGAAGAACCGAGAGGUGUUGAGCUUGGUCACCAAACAUCUGGCAAAUGUCGCGGCCAACAGUAAGCAGAACUUGAUGACGGUAGCCAACCUGGGCGUGGUAUUCGGCCCCACCCUCAUGCGGCCUCAGGAGGAGACGGUGGCGGCCAUCAUGGACCUCAAGUUCCAAAACAUCGUGGUGGAGAUUCUCAUCGAGCAGCACGAAAAGAUAUUUGGGGAUGCUCCUAGCGCUUGUCCAUCCUCGACUCUCUCUCCGCUCACCGCUCCAACGCGUCAGUCUAAGAAGCAGGCACGCCAGAGCCGCCCGCUGGCUGUGUACAACCCCCUGGACAUCCACACAGUGUCUCCGUCCUCUGAGAAUGUCUCUCUGACCCCUGACGAAGCCUCUCUGGACAGUAAUGAAUCCGUAUCCUCGCAGUCCUCUACGGCAUCGAACUCAGAAACCCCUCCGGAGAAGUCCAAGAAUCCCCAUGGCAACACCGUAGCCACCCAACAGAACUCCGGAGGGGGAGCAGGCAUGGCAUCAUGGAUGAACUCCACUCCUACUUGUUUAACACCUCAGACUAAAGCUGCAGACACACACGCAGCAGCAACCGGAGGACAGACGGACAAAUCUGCAGAAAGAAGCAGCCGUAGUCCCAGCAAUCUGGAAUUGGAGGAGAUGAGAGCUCCAUCCAGAGGCAGGACAUCCGAAACGGAUCAGUGUCACUCUCAUGAAAGCCAAGGCUGUGUACCCCUGUGAAGCCGAGCACGAUUCCGAACUCUCCUUCCAGGUCGGAGCAAUCUUCCAUGCUGUGACUCCGUCCCGAGAGCCCGGCUGGUUGGAAGGAGAACUGGAGGGCAAACGAGGCCUCAUCCCUCAGAAUUACGUGGAAAUCCUGCAACAAAUGGACUAAGCUAAAAAAGAAAAAAAAAAAAAAGAGGAGUUUAAUAUACAUGGUAUCCAUGGUGUGGCCGUGACCUCCUCCCCGGCUCACUUCCACGUUUAGUUUCUCCGUCUGCACCACGAGUGACCCGUCGAGGGUAGACGUGGCAGAUUUAACCUUCCUCCGACCCGUACGUCGUCUUAAAAGGUCGACGAGUUCAAACCUGUACAUAUUACGUGUUUCAAGUCUUGUUUCAUUUCUGUUCUUUUUUUUUUUUUUUGUGCAUGAUUUUGUGGUUUUUAAGUAGCUUGGAUCUAAUGCAUGGGUGUAUAAUAUUUUAUAUUAUUUAAUUAAAGCGUGCAUUCAAACCGAAUACGAGUAUAGAUGUUUGCGAAGACGUAGCUGUGUAUGACGUAGCUAUGUCAAGCUUCAAGUUUAAAGCACUCCCACACGUUGCCGUCGAGUUCACCUGUUUGUUCUGAUGAUUUGGUUUUGUUUGUUUGUUUGUCUGUUUGUUUUUGUUUGUGAGGUUUUCACUGUGCCUUAAUCUCACGACGCUUCUUGCGGGCUUGACGUUGUCCAAGAAAUCUGGAUGGAAUCUUAUUUUAACCGCGUGAUACGUAGCGCGGAAGCGUUUUCUGUGCUAAGAAAUUUCUCGUAUAUCUUCCGAAUUGAACAUGAAACCGGCCGAACCAUUUCACGACGACCGUAAAUGCAGCAUCGCUAAGCCUCACGCGCACAUUUUAUAUGCGUCUUUAGAAUCAUUAUUCUCUAAAGGACGUUAAAGCUCAAGUGCAUCCAGAGGUGGAUAGGACCUUCUCAGUCCCUCGGUCUCCGCCGUUUAAUUUGAUUAAUUUGAAAUGUCAUAUCUAUCUAACAAUGUUUUCUUCCUACGGUUUAUAUUUGUGACCGAGCACCAUGACAGUAAUUUAAGACAGUGAUUUAUGGCUUGGCACGGCUCUGAUUUUUGUCUUGUUGGAAAAACCUGUCGAUCAAUGUUAAACAAAUAAAAGCUUUUUAUUCCUC